rnacentral:rRNA from 1 species
AGUGAACGCUGGCGGUAGGCCUAACACAUGCAAGUCGAACGGCAGCACAGUAAGAGCUUGCUCUUACGGGUGGCGAGUGGCGGACGGGUGAGGAAUACAUCGGAAUCUACUUUUUCGUGGGGGAUAACGUAGGGAAACUUACGCUAAUACCGCAUACGACCUACGGGUGAAAGCAGGGGAUCUUCGGACCUUGCGCGAUUGAAUGAGCCGAUGUCGGAUUAGCUAGUUGGCGGGGUAAAGGCCCACCAAGGCGACGAUCCGUAGCUGGUCUGAGAGGAUGGUCAGCCACGCUGGAACUGAGACACGGUCCAGACUCCUACGGGAGGCAGGAGUGGGGAAUAUUGGACCAUGGGCGCAAGCCUGAUCCAGCCAUACCGCGUGGGUGAAGAAGGCCUUCGGGUUGUAAAGCCCUUUUGUUGGGAAAGAAAAGCAGCAGGUUAAUACCCCGCUGUUCUGACGGUACCCAAAGAAUAAGCACCGGCUAACUUCGUG